GGGCAUUAUUUCCUUCAAAGUUUACUUUCAGUAGUCUAAGUUUUGUUUUUGUGUAUCUAUUAACUUCACAAUAUGUUUUUAUUUUUGUAGGUUUGUUCCUGUUUUUCGAGAACGCUACUUUUUCCAAUUUGUGUUGAAUUUGAGAAACAAAAAAUAUAACACGUGGACAAUCUUGUGUAUAAUGAAGCUCAAAUCAUUGACUUUGAACUUUUUUCAACAACUCUGUGUGAUCUUCAAGGUAGUUUCCUUGAUGAGAAAGGCCAUAAUCAUGAAGGUGAUAUUGGAACGUACGCCAUGGAGGAGGUUGAGUUUGAUUGGAAGAAUCCCAAAGGGUCCGACCUUGAUUGUGGAAUUUAUAUGAUGCUAAGUAUGUUGACAUUUGAAGGAAUCAAAUGUAGCUGUCCUGAUUUGAAAGAUCCCCGUAAAAGGAUUGUUAUGCGUGCUAAGUGCUAUCAGACAUGAAUGACAAACGGCUAGAAGUUCUCAAGCAUGUUGCUGAUUUCAAUCCCAAAUGAGCAGUUGUCCUUCCGGGUGUGUUGGUGAGGAGGAAGAAAAAAUUGGCAGAGGAGAAGAAAGCUGAAAAGUUGAAGAAAGAAGCUGCUAAAAAGGAGAAGGAACUUGAGAAGAACGCCAAUGAGAAUGAGCAACCAGAGAAGAAUGACAAAGAGAAAGAGCAACUGGAGAAGACUGACAAUGAGGCAGAGGGCGACAAAGUACCGUUGAAGACUUUUAUUUCAAGAAAACAUUUGAAAAGGAAUUUAAAUGAUCUAUCUGACCCACAAAAUGACGAACCUCCUUUGAAGAAGCUUGCUCUGGUCAAACGGACGGCAAAGAAACCUACAGCUUGAAAAUUUAAUAUUAGUUUACCUAACUUUUAUUACAUAAAGGUUAACUUUAAGUACAAUAAUCUCAACUUUUACAUUUUUACAAAAAUACUUCACUAUAUUUUAAUCCCUUUUUUGUGUAUCUAUGGGAUAUAA